UCUGGUUGAUCCUGCCAGUAGUCAUAUGCUUGUCUCAAAGAUUAAGCCAUGCAUGUCUAAGUACAAACCUUAAUACGGUGAAACCGCGAAUGGCUCAUUAAAUCAGCUAUGGUUCCUUAGAUCGUCUCAUCCUACUCGGAUAACUGUGGAAAAUCUAGAGCUAAUACGUGCUUACAAGCCCUGACCUCACGGGAGGGGCGCAUUUAUUAGAUCAAAAACCAAUCGGGGCUUGCCCCGUCUGCUUGGUGACUCUGGAUAACUUUUGUGCUGAUCGCAUGGCCUCUGCGCUGGCGACGUAUCUUUCAAGUGUCUGCCCUAUCAACUUACGAUGGUAGGUGAUAUGCCUACCAUGGUUAUAACGGGUAACGGGGAAUCAGGGUUCGAUUCCGGAGAGGGAGCCUGAGAAACGGCUACCACAUCUAAGGAAGGCAGCAGGCGCGCAAAUUACCCACUCCCGGCACGGGGAGGUAGUGACGAAAAAUAACGAUACGGGACUCUUUUGAGGCCCCGUAAUUGGAAUGAGUACACUUUAAAUCCGUUAACAAGUAUCUAUUGGAGGGCAAGUCUGGUGCCAGCAGCCGCGGUAAUUCCAGCUCCAAUAGCGUAUAUUAAUGUUGCUGCAGUUAAAAAGCUCGUAGUUGGAUCUGAGGACUCGAAUUGGUGGUGCACCAUACGGUGUUACUGCCGAUUCGGCCUACCUAGUCGGUGCUCGCUCUUGGUGUUCUUAAUUGAAUGCCCUGAGUGCCCGGCAAGUUUACUUUGAAAAAAUUAGAGUGCUCAAAGCAGGCCAUUAGCCGGAAUACUUCAGCAUGGAAUAAUGGAAUAGGACUUCGGUUCUAUUUUGUUGGUUUUCGGAACCCGAGGUAAUGAUUAAGAGAGACAGACGGGGGCAUUCGUACUGCGGUGUUAGAGGUGAAAUUCUUGGAUCGCCGCAAGACGAACAACUGCGAAAGCAUUUGCCAAGAAUGUUUUCAUUAAUCAAGAACGAAAGUCAGAGGUUCGAAGACGAUCAGAUACCGUCCUAGUUCUGACCAUAAACGAUGCCAACUGGCGAUCCGAGAUCGUUUGCUUAUUGACCUCUCGGGCAGCCUCCGGGAAACCAAAGUUUUUAGGUUCCGGGGGAAGUAUGGUUGCAAAGCUGGAAACUGUUCAAUUGCAACUCUGCCUGUGACACCAAGUGGUCGGGUUACUUGGUCUGUUCUGGCCCGGAGUCGGUAGGGUUUCCGGCCUUGUGCUCUUUCCUUACUGUUCUCUGUAACGCCGAAGGCGGGGCUUCCACGGUGGGGAAGCGGUUGUACAAAUCCGGCAAAUCCAGCCAAAUGGGUUCCGGACUCUGUCCAACCUGCAACUGGUAACAGCCUCGGCUGGCUAACAUUUGAGCUGGGACUCGCUUGGGAGGAGCGAGGAUAAUAUAAACCUCUAUGUGACUGAGGUGAGGAAUCUGGUUCUCGUAAAAUGGCUGGAGAUCCCGAGCCUGUAAGUCAUAAAUUAGUUCCCCCACGAGGGAGGUGUCGAAUUGAAGCCAGUGCGUGCCCUUACUAGUUUAAGGGAUUGUAUACUUCCUUUGGUGUACCCACCUGGAAGUGCCCAAGGGGUCCUAUCCCUGCACU
rnacentral:rRNA from 1 species